rnacentral:rRNA from 1 species
CAAGCGGUGGAGCAUGUGGUUUAAUUCGAAGCAACGCGAAGAACCUUACCAAAUCUUGACAUCCUUUGAAAACUCUAGAGAUAGAGCCUUCCCCUUCGGGGGACAAAGUGACAGGUGGUGCAUGGUUGUCGUCAGCUCGUGUCGUGAGAUGUUGGGUUAAGUCCCGCAACGAGCGCAACCCUUAAGCUUAGUUGCCAUCAUUAAGUUGGGCACUCUAGGUUGACUGCCGGUGACAAACCGGAGGAAGGUGGGGAUGACGUCAAAUCAUCAUGCCCCUUAUGAUUUGGGCUACACACGUGCUACAAUGGACAAUACAAAGGGCAGCUAAACCGCGAGGUCAUGCAAAUCCCAUAAAGUUGUUCUCAGUUCGGAUUGUAGUCUGCAACUCGACUACAUGAAGCUGGAAUCGCUAGUAAUCGUAGAUCAGCAUGCUACGGUGAAUACGUUCCCGGGUCUUGUACACACC